UACGAAGGGGGCUAGCGUUGCUCGGAAUCACUGGGCGUAAAGCGCACGUAGGCGGCUUUCUAAGUCAGGGGUGAAAUCCUGGAGCUCAACUCCAGAACUGCCUUUGAUACUGGCGAUCUCGAGUUCGGGAGAGGUGAGUGGAACUGCGAGUGUAGAGGUGAAAUUCGUAGAUAUUCGCAAGAACACCAGUGGCGAAGGCGGCUCACUGGCCCGGUACUGACGCUGAGGUGCGAAAGCGUGGGGAGCAAACAGG
rnacentral:rRNA from 1 species